rnacentral:rRNA from 1 species
UGGCAUGCGGCAGCUAUAAUGCAGUCGAGCGAACAGAUAAGGAGCUUGCUCCUUUGACGUUAGCGGCGGACGGGUGAGUAACACGUGGAUAACCUACCUAUAAGACUGGGAUAACUUCGGGAAACCGGAGCUAAUACCGGAUAACAUAUUGAACCGCAUGGUUCAAUAGUGAAAGGCGGCUUUGCUGUCACUUAUAGAUGGAUCCGCGCCGUAUUAGCUAGUUGGUAAGGUAACGGCUUACCAAGGCAACGAUACGUAGCCGACCUGAGAGGGUGAUCGGCCACACUGGAACUGAGACACGGUCCAGACUCCUACGGGAGGCAGCAGUAGGGAAUCUUCCGCAAUGGGCGAAAGCCUGACGGAGCAACGCCGCGUGAGUGAUGAAGGUCUUCGGAUCGUAAAACUCUGUUAUCAGGGAAGAACAAAUGUGUAAGUAACUGUGCACAUCUUGACGGUACCUGAUCAGAAAGCCACGGCUAACUACGUGCCAGCAGCCGCGGUAAUACGUAGGUGGCAAGCGUUAUCCGGAAUUAUUGGGCGUAAAGCGCGCGUAGGCGGUUUUUUAAGUCUGAUGUGAAAGCCCACGGCUCAACCGUGGAGGGUCAUUGGAAACUGGAAAACUUGAGUGCAGAAGAGGAAAGUGGAAUUCCAUGUGUAGCGGUGAAAUGCGCAGAGAUAUGGAGGAACACCAGUGGCGAAGGCGACUUUCUGGUCUGUAACUGACGCUGAUGUGCGAAAGCGUGGGGAUCAAACAGGAUUAGAUACCCUGGUAGUCCACGCCGUAAACGAUGAGUGCUAAGUGUUAGGGGGUUUCCGCCCCUUAGUGCUGCAGCUAACGCAUUAAGCACUCCGCCUGGGGAGUACGACCGCAAGGUUGAAACUCAAAGGAAUUGACGGGGACCCGCACAAGCGGUGGAGCAUGUGGUUUAAUUCGAAGCAACGCGAAGAACCUUACCAAAUCUUGACAUCCUUUGACCGCUCUAGAGAUAGAGUCUUCCCCUUCGGGGGACAAAGUGACAGGUGGUGCAUGGGUUGUCGUCAGCUCGUGUCGUGAGAUGUUGGGUUAAGUCCCGCAACGAGCGCAACCCUUUAAGCUUAGUUGCCAUCAUUAAGUUGGGCCACUCCUAAAGUUGC